rnacentral:rRNA from 1 species
AUUGAACGCUGGCGGCAUGCCUUACACAUGCAAGUCGAACGGCAGCACGGGAGCAAUCCUGGUGGCGAGUGGCGAACGGGUGAGUAAAGUAUCAGUACGUGCCCAGUCGUGGGGGAUGACGUAGCGAACGUUACGCUACUACCGCAGACGAACUUAGGAUCAAAGGGGGGGAGCGCAAGGGCUCGCGCGAUUGGAGCGGUCGAUAUCAGAUUAGGUAGUUGGUGGGGUAAAGGCCCACCAAGCCGACGAUCUGUAGCUGGUCUGAGAGGACGACCAGCCACACUGGGACUGAGACACGGCCCAGACUCCUACGGGAGGCAGCAGUGGGGAAUUUUGGACAAUGGGCGCAAGCCUGAUCCAGCCAUGCCGCGUGCAGGAUGAAGGCCUUCGGGUUGUAAACUGCUUUUGUACGGAACGAAAAGGUUUGACUUAAUACGUUGGACUCAUGACGGUACCGUAAGAAUAAGCACCGGCUAACUACGUGCCAGCCGCCGCAGUAAAAC